GGUAAUUUCAGUUUUUGACAGCAAUCUUGUCUCGAAUCACCUGUCAGUAAGACUCAUUCGUCUCUUUUCUUUGAAAACCUACACUACACCGUUAUGAAGUCUUUCGUGAUUAUUCUAUCUGUUCUGUUGAGCUUCUUGACUUUCAGCGGGUUGGCCCAGACGCACGACGUACAAUCUUUCUCUGAAGAAAAACCGUUCACUCCGACAUACGUGGGGAAAAUGAAAUUCGCAGAUGUUGUUCAACCGCAAUUAAUCCGUCAUUCCCGGCAUGCGCCCUUUCUUGCUGGAGCAGCAGUUGGAGCAAUCGUAGCGAACAAUCGUCAUCCUAACCAUAACGCUCCCAGCUACUACUAUCCGCCUAGUUAUUAUCCAUCGGGUCAUUAUCAUACUCACGGGUAGAAACUUAAAUCAGAAGGUUAAUUUUUCUGCAGUUAUGAAACAACAACAUCUCAUAAUCCCAAUAACUAAUUUACACACAUGACAGAUCUGCCAACAACCAAUACCAAUGACCAAUACAUUAGCCAAAUUUACUGGAA